rnacentral:lncRNA from 13 species
GUAUUGCUGAAUGUGUCUGAAACAAAUUCGCUUUCGUACACACUUGUUCACGGUCUCUUUUCGAUGAACUUACUUAUUGCCGCCUAAAGUCAUCAAAAUUCCCGGCGUUGCAGGUUGAACAAUAUAAUGUAAAUCGUUAAUGGCAACUUGCGCACCCAAUCGAUUGGAGAAAUUCGAAGACACGUCCGAGGCGUAACAUCCGAUCAUACCGAGACCACCGGCGUGUGCGUCUAUCAAUGAAGUACCAACCGGUGUAUCUUUCAACAAUCCUAAUUCUGCCGCAGCUUUCAUCGAUAAUCCGCACUCAAUUGCAUCACCAGAUCUCGUAAAUUGAGCUGUUCGAAGAAGUCCUCGUUCCAUCCGUUCUUACCAAUGGGAUCGGCGCUAUAGUUCCACUUACAUACUAAUGAACACAACGAUCUGAAACAAGAUAUGAGAUUUUGACUUCCCUUUUAUGUUUUGUUUUUUACUUAUUAAAAAAGUUUUAAAAAAAUUAAAUUGAGAGAAUGAUCGUACCGAUCGAAAGUAAAUCUUAGUGCUCAAUAAUAAUUGUCUAGAUGAAAUUAUAUACAUUUAAACAAGUUCCCUUUCAAAGGAUUUAAAUAUUGAGGAUGCAUACCGCGACUCCGAUUCGGUGGCUUUCCACGUUAAAAAAUCUGGUAGAUCAAACAGCAGCGCGAUAGAGUUCCAGGAAGCGGUAUAUCGUGGCCCAUAGAGUUGAUAAAGUCAGCUUCCUCAUGCGCUCUGUGAUCCAUCCACAGUAUAACAUUUUGCUUCUCCUGUCCUGAAAAAUUAGUAUACAUCAAUUUUCUAUAUUACAAUGACUGACUGUUACUGGUGAACCCGCUUCAUCUACAGCUACUAAUGAGCAAGUAGCGUCGAAUCCAAUUCCUUUAACAUUUUCAGCGGAGAUGUCAGCAAC